GACGAACGCUGGCGGCGUGCUUAACACAUGCAAGUCGAACGAUGAAGCGGUGCUUGCACCGUGGAUUAGUGGCGAACGGGUGAGUAAUACGUGAGUGACCUACCUUUGACUCUGGGAUAAGCCUGGGAAACUGGGUCUAAUACCGGAUACGACCAAUCUCUGCAUGGGGUGUUGGUGGAAAGCGUUAUGGAGUGGUUUUAGAUGGGCUCACGGCCUAUCAGCUUGUUGGUGAGGUAAUGGCUUACCAAGGCGACGACGGGUAGCCGGCCUGAGAGGGUGACCGGCCACACUGGGACUGAGACACGGCCCAGACUCCUACGGGAGGCAGCAGGGGGGAAUAUUGCACAAUGGGCGCAAGCCUGAUGCAGCGACGCCGCGUGAGGGAUGACGGCCUUCGGGUUGUAAACCUCUGUGAGCAUAGAAGAAGAGAAAGUGACGGUAGGUGCAGAGAAAGCGCCGGCUAACUACGUG
rnacentral:rRNA from 1 species